rnacentral:rRNA from 1 species
UUUCCUACGGGGGGCAGCAGUGGGGAAUAUUGCGCAAUGGGCGAAAGCCUGACGCAGCGACGCCGCGUGAGGGACGAAGGUCUUCGGAUCGUAACCUCUGUCCGCAGGGAAGAACGGUCACUGUGCUAAUCAGCAGUGAAUUGACGGUACCUGCAAAGGAAGCACCGGCUAACUCCGUGCCAGCAGCCGCGGUAAUACGGAGGGUGCGAGCGUUAAUCGGAAUUAAUGGGCGUAAAGCGCUCGUAGGCGGUGGGUCAAGGCAAGGGAGAAAUCCCC